UGGGACCCUGUCCUCCUAUUUUCAGUUGGUUUUGCCAGCGCGAGGACUAGGGUAAUGAUUAAUAGGGAUAGUUGGGGGCAUUAAUAUUUAAUUGUCAGAGGUGAAAUUCUUGGAUUUAUGAAAGAUUAACUUCUGCGAAAGCAUCUGCCAAGGAUGUUUUCAUUAAUCAAGAACGAAAGUUAGGGGAUCGAAGACGAUCAGAUACCGUCGUAGUCUUAACCAUAAACGAUGCCGACCAGCGAUUAGGAGACGUUGAAUACAAAACACCACCAUCGGUGCGGUCGUCCUUGGCGUCGGUCUUUCGGGGCCGGCGCGGGGACGGCUUAGCCCGGUGGCACCGGUGAAUGACUCCCUAGCAGC
rnacentral:rRNA from 1 species